rnacentral:misc_RNA from 1 species
UUAUCAUUUAGAGGAAGGAGAAGUCGUAACAAGGUUUCCGUAGGUGAACCUGCGGAAGGAUCAUUGUCGAUACCUGCCUAGCAGAACGACCCGCGAACAAGUUCAAAACACCAAGGGGUUGCGAGGAUGCCUAACCGCACCGAGCACAUCCCUUCGAGCUAUGGCGCAUGCGGCCGUCUGUUAUCUUCUUGCCUAGGUGCGGGCUGUGACUGAUUGUCUCGUCGCCUUCUGCUCAUCAACUAACCCACGGCGCGAGUCGCGCCAAGGAAAUGAAACGAAAAAGAGCACGAAGCUCUCGGUGGCCCCGUAUGCGGUGCGCUGCCGGAGGGCCAAGUGUUUCCUUUCUUGUGAUAGUCUAUAACGACUCUCGGCAACGGAUAUCUCGGCUCUCGCAUCGAUGAAGAACGUAGCGAAAUGCGAUACUUGGUGUGAAUUGCAGAAUCCCGUGAACCAUCGAGUUUUUGAACGCAAGUUGCGCCCCAAGCCAUUAGGCCGAGGGCACGCCUGCCUGGGUGUCACGCAUCGUCGCCCCCAACAACCCCAUUUGGUCUCGUUGUGGGACGGAUAUUGGUCUCCCGUGCGCUCCACGCUCGCGGUUGGCCCAAAAGAGAUUUCUCGGCAAUGAAUAUGCUGCGACCUUCACUUCGGUGGUAAUGCCUCACGGCGUUCCUUGUCCCUAGUUGUGCGCAGCCAUUGCUUGGUGGGAAUCCUCAAAGGACCCUUUAAGCGUCACGAGAAUGACGCUCGCUUUGCGACCCCAGGUCAGACGGGAUUACCCGCUGAGUUUAAG